rnacentral:other from 1 species
AAAACCCUACUAUGUACGUGAACUACCGAUUAUGUUUUGAGCCAACACCAAAACAUAGGGAGUUCGGCUCUGAAUGUGGCUUGUAGGCCUCCAUUGAGUGGAAACAUAAAGCAUUCAGGAGAACACCCACCUGCGCGAGCAGGUUCAAAACGGUCGGUCACACGGCAUUGGUGGGGUAUUC